UACGUAGGGGGCAAGCGUUGUCCGGAUUUAUUGGGCGUAAAGAGCGUGUAGGCGGCCCGACAGGUCCGUUGUGAAAACUCGAGGCUCAACCUCGAGAUGUCGAUGGAAACCGUCUGGCUAGAGUCCGGAAGAGGAGUGUGGAAUUCCUGGUGUAGCGGUGAAAUGCGCAGAUAUCAGGAAGAACACCUAUGGCGAAGGCAGCACUCUGGGACGGUACUGACGCUGAGACGCGAAAGCGUGGGGAGCGAACAGG
rnacentral:rRNA from 1 species